rnacentral:rRNA from 1 species
AACGUAGGAGACAAACGUUAUCCGGAGUUACUGGGCGUAAAGGGCGUGUAGGGGGUUACGUAAGUCUGGCGUGAAAUUUCUCGGCUUAACCGAGGCAGGUCGUCGGAUACUGCGAGACUAGAGGACGGUAGAGGCGUGUGGAAUUCCGGGUGUAGUGGUGAAAUGCGUAGAGAUCCGGAAGAACACCGGUGGCGAAGGCGGCCUGCUGGGCAGUUUUGCUGACACUGAGGCGCGACAGCGUGGGGAGCAAACAGG